rnacentral:rRNA from 1 species
UAGAGUUUGAUCAUGGCUCAGAAUGAACGCUGGCGGCGUGCUUAACACAUGCAAGUCGUACGAGAACUCUUUAGCUUGCUAAAGAUAGUAAAGUGGCGCACGGGUGAGUAACGCGUGGGUAAUCUACCUCCGAAUCGGGGAUAACCCGCCGAAAGGCGAGCUAAUACCGGAUAAUAUCUAUAGAACUUCGGUUUUAAAGAUCAAAGGUGGUCUCUACAUGUAAGCUACUGUUUGGAGAUGAGCCCGCGUACCAUUAGCUUGUUGGUAGGGUAAUGGCUUACCAAGGCUUCGAUGGUUAGCUGGUCUGAGAGGAUGAUCAGCCACACUGGAACUGACACACGGUCCAGACUCCUACGGGAGGCAGCAGUGAGGAAUUUUGCGCAAUGGGGGAAACCCUGACGCAGCAACGCCGCGUGAGUGAUGAAGGCUUUCGGGUCGUAAAGCUCUGUCAAGUGGGAAGAACAUGCUUGAUGCUAAUACCAUCUUGCACUGACGGUACCACUGAAGGAAGCACCGGCUAACUCCGUGCCAGCAGCCGCGGUAAUACGGGGGGUGCAAGCGUUAUUCGGAAUUAUUGGGCGUAAAGGGCGCGUAGGCGGUCUCUUAAGUCAGAUGUGAAAGCCCGGGGCUCAACCCCGGAAGUGCAUUUGAAACUAAGUGACUUGAGUAUGGGAGAGGGAAGUGGAA